CUGCGGAUGCUUUACCUGCAAGUCGGGCGGCAGCAUGGACUUCGGUCUGAUGGCUAGCGGCGAACGGGUGAGUAAUGCAUCGGAACGUACCUAGUCGUGGGGGAUAACUAGUCGAAAGAUUAGCUAAUACCGCAUACGUCCUACGGGAGAAAGCAGGGGAUCGCAAGACCUUGCGCGAUUGGAGCGGCCGAUGUCUGAUUAGCUAGUUGGUGGGGUAAAGGCUCACCAAGGCGACGAUCAGUAGCGGGUCUGAGAGGAUGAUCCGCCACACUGGAACUGAGACACGGUCCAGACUCCUACGGGAGGCAGCAGUGGGGAAUUUUGGACAAUGGGGGCAACCCUGAUCCAGCCAUUCCGCGUGAGUGAAGAAGGCCUUCGGGUUGUAAAGCUCUUUCGGCAGGAACGAAACGGUUCGCUCUAACAUAGCGGACUACUGACGGUACCUGAAGAAGAAGCACCGGCUAACUACGUGCCAGCAGCCGCGGUAAUACGUAGGGUGCGAGCGUUAAUCGGAAUUACUGGGCGUAAAGCGUGCGCAGGCGGCUUUUUAAGCCAGAUGUGAAAUCCCCGGGCUUAACCUGGGAACUGCAUUUGGAACUGGAAGGCUAGAGUGCGGCAGAGGGGGGUAGAAUUCCACGUGUAGCAGUGAAAUGCGUAGAGAUGUGGAGGAAUACCGAUGGCGAAGGCAGCCCCCUGGGUCGACACUGACGCUCAUGCACGAAAGCGUGGGGAGCAAACAGGAUUAGAUACCCUGGUAGUCCACGCCCUAAACGAUGUCAACUAGUUGUUGGGAGGAGUGAAAUCCUUUAGUAACGAAGCU
rnacentral:rRNA from 1 species